GCGUCGUUUUGCAUCGGAUUACUUGUAGCGAGCAGUUGGACAACAGUGAGCAGUGGAUCUGGAGUCUGUUAAAUGAAGCAGGUUCAAUUCAGACAGGCAACACUGUGUGGUGAGAAAGACCCCUCAAUCGAGAAUGCUGAGAAGUUCCAGAUGAUCACAGAAAAAAAUGCAGCAGGGGUUCCAUGGACAACAGGAACUUUGCAUCAGUGGCACGGAGUGGAUAGGGCAAAGCAGCAGAGUCUGAAAUGAAACUGGGCUACUGUGUUGGCAAAACCAUGCCACAUCACUGGAUUGACUGUGUGCUUUUGUUUUUUUAAGACCAGAAUUUAGAAAAAAUCUUCUUUUAAGACAAUUUGAUGAAUGUUGAAUGUACCCAAAGUAUAAGCAAAUAUGUAUUAAAAACAUUGUUUUACUGAA